CUUUAUUGAAGAGCUCUUUAAAAAAGAGGGGGGCUGAGGAUAAGAAAUUGGGGAGGCAAGAGGAAUUUUAAUGUUUUUAUUAUUAUUAUUAUUUUUUAUCUGGACUUUUUGUAUGAACUGUGCUGUUAAUGGCUUGGUGAAUUCUUGUUUGUCUCUAUGUGAAGGAAGAUGGAUGUGUGAAGAGUCACCCAAGUUCCAGGGAGAAACUGAGCAAGACAGAUUAGUCCCACCUCAGCGUGACACCUGGGGCACAUCCUUAUCUAAGGGGAUCCAGACAUCUUCCAGUCCCAGAAGGACUUGCCCUUGGCAGGGAUUACUAGCCUAUGGAGGCAGGCUGGACACCAUCUCAGUCAAAUUCCUGGAGUAACAGGUAAUGAGAAGCAGCUAGACCUAGGGAAAAAAAAGAAAAGAAGCCCCUUUUUUUAUUUUUUAUUUUUUUUUUGUGUUACUUUAUGUUCCAGCUUUUGGCAACAUCUGAACUCAGUAUUUGAUAGUGAGUCCGAUAUGAAUACAGUGCAUUUAGAUUUUUGAUCUUCCUCCAGAUUCAUGCCUGUUAUGAAAAACCAGCAGUACCUGAAAUCAGAAAAUGUCCAUCUGAAAAGUUUAUAUACUGGUACCAGUCAUUAGAUCUCUUGUAUAAUAUAUUUGCAUGCAUACCUCAUCAUUUUAGUUUAACAUCAUAAACAUUUGAUUAUUCUUUCAGCUGUGUCAAACUUCUACCAUUUUUAGGACUGUGAAAAUACAGGUUACAUGCUCCAAACACUUUGAAGUUUUCUGCAUGUACACAUGCUGAGACCAAUUCUCACUAUCUGCAUAUGCAAACAACAUGACAUGCAAAAGGAAUUAUACAUAAUUGGAAGAUGUGCUGUAGUAAAUUACUUUUUUCACUGUCACUCUAUGCCUUUAUUUGUACUUGAAUCUCUUACUAAAAAAAAAUAAAUAAUAGUAACAUAAAGAAACA
rnacentral:lncRNA from 1 species